AUGCUUACCAUGCAGUCGAACGGCAGCACGGACUUCGGUCUGGUGGCGAGUGGCGAACGGGUGAGUAAUGUAUCGGAACGUACCAUUCAGUGGGGGAUAACGUAGCGAAAGUUACGCUAAUACCGCAUAUUCUCUCCGGAGGAAAGCAGGGGACCGCAAGGCCUUGCGCUGAUUGAGCGGCCGAUAUCAGAUUAGCUAGUUGGUGGGGUAACGGCUCACCAAGGCGACGAUCUGUAGCGGGUCUGAGAGGAUGAUCCGCCACACUGGAACUGAGACACGGUCCAGACUCCUACGGGAGGCAGCAGUGGGGAAUUUUGGACAAUGGGGGCAACCCUGAUCCAGCCAUGCCGCGUGAGUGAAGAAGGCCUUCGGGUUGUAAAGCUCUUUCGGCCGGGAAAAAAUCGCAUGGGUUAAUACCCUGUGUGGAUGAUGGUACCGGAAUAAGAAGCACCGGCUAACUACGUGCCAGCAGCCGCGGUAAUACGUAGGGUGCGAGCGUUAAUCGGAAUUACUGGGCGUAAAGCGUGCGCAGGCGGUUUUGUAAGACAGGCGUGAAAUCCCCGGGCUUAACCUGGGAACUGCGUUUGUGACUGCAAGGCUAGAGUACGGCAGAGGGGGGUGGAAUUCCACGUGUAGCAGUGAAAUGCGUAGAGAUGUGGAGGAACACCAAUGGCGAAGGCAGCCCCCUGGGUCGAUACUGACGCUCAUGCACGAAAGCGUGGGUAGCAAACAGGAUUAGAUACCCUGGUAGUCCACGCCCUAAACUAUGUCAACUAGGUG
rnacentral:rRNA from 1 species